UACGUAGGGGGCAAGCGUUGUCCGGAAUCAUUGGGCGUAAAGCGCGUGUAGGCGGCUUGGUAAGUCCGCUCUGAAAGCCCGGGGCUCAACCCCGGGAGGCGGGUGGAUACUGUCAAGCUCGAGUCCGGAAGAGGCGAGUGGAAUUCCUGGUGUAGCGGUGAAAUGCGCAGAUAUCAGGAAGAACACCCGUGGCGAAGGCGGCUCUCUGGGACGGUACUGACGCUGAGACGCGAAAGCGUGGGGAGCGAACAGG
rnacentral:rRNA from 1 species